UCUUGUUGAAAAGGAGUCAAAAUGAAAAGCAGCGCACAAACGAAAUUUGGCGGCUUGAGCAACUUUGGCUGACUUGGCUAAAAAUAAACGGCCGCAAUAGUUGGUGCCAGGGAGGGGAGCAACAAAACACACGCACACAUACGGUAUACACACCAACAUGCAUAGAUACACAUACACAAACAUAUAAAUAUAUAUUUAUAUAUGUAUGUAUGCAUGUGUGUGCGUGCGUGUGCGCGAGCCAAACUUUUGCCUUUGGGGUCGCGCCGUGUUCUGCGCGCGCUUUUCAACCCCCACCCAAUUGACGACGGCGAUGCAGCAGAAGCAGAAGCAGAAGCAGCAGCAGCAGCAGCAGCAGCGGCAGCAGCAACAGCAAGAAGAAGAAGCGGCAGAAGCAGUGCAAAAUCGGCGCACAAAUUCAGUUUUUAACAUUCGCCCCCCGCACAACACAAAAAGAAAAAGAGAAAAAAAAUCAAUAGAAAUAACAAAAUACAGCACAUAAAAAAAUGCGCUGCUUGUUGCGCCCGCCAACUUAAUAAUAUAUGUAUGUAUGUAUGUAUAUGUAUGCAUGUUUAUAUGUAUGCAUGCAUUAAAUAGUUAAGCUUUAAACUGUUUCUGGCACUUACCGUUGCUGUCUGAAAGCACAGCCUACAAAUGGUGUCCAUGGCUCUGCUCCAGUUUGGCGGCAGGGGCAGGACAACGUGCUCGCUGCGUCUUGCGGUAUUGUUAUUGUUUCUGCGGAUGCUCCUGCUGCUGCUGCUGCUGGUGAUGCUGCUGCUGGUGCUGGUGGUGUUGCGGUUGUUUGGCGUUGCACAUGUAUUGGCAAGGGGAACGGGAUCGGCUAACUUUACCGGUUAGCAUUUACACGCAUCCAAAAGCUUUAAUUGCCUUGUAUUCUUUUUUUAACCAAUGCAA